rnacentral:tRNA from 1 species
GGAAGUUGAUGGGGUCUGGUGGCCUCCCCGGUCUACAAAACCGGUGGGACCCGAGAAGGGUUCGGCGAGUUCGAUUCUAGCCUCUUCC